rnacentral:rRNA from 1 species
GGACUACAGGGGUAUCUAAUCCCGUUUGAUCCCCACGCUUUCGUGCCUGAGUGUCAGGAAUGAGCCAGUAGACUGCCUACGCCAUCGGUGUUCCUCCUAAUAUCAACGGAUAUUACCCCUACACUAGGAAUUCCAUCUACCUCUCUCAUCCUCUAGCUUGGCAGUUCGAGUAAUGUAUAUCCGGUUGAGCCGAACGCUUUCACUACUCGCUUACCAUGCCACCUACGCAACUCUUUACGCCCAGUAAUUCCGGAUAACGCUUGGAUCCUCCGUAUUACCGCGGCUGCUGGCAC